GACGAACGCUGGCGGCGUGCCUAAUACAUGCAAGUCGAGCGAGCGGCGGACGGGUGAGUAAUGUCUGGGAAACUGCCUGAUGGAGGGGGAUAACUACUGGAAACGGUAGCUAAUACCGCAUACCAUCAGAUGUGCCCAGAUGGGAUUAGCUAGUAGGUUGGGUAACGCCUCACCUAGGCGACGAUCCCUAGCUGGUCUGAGAGGAUGAACAGCCACACUGGAACUGAGACACGGUCCAUACGCCUACGGGAGGAAGCAGUGGGUAAUAUUGCACAAUGGGCGCAAGCCGGAUGCAGCCAUGCCGCGUGUGUGAAGAAGGCCUUCGGGUUGUAAAGCACUUUCAGCGGGGAGGCGUUACCCGCAGAAGAAGCACCGGCUAACUCCGUGCCAGCAGCCGCGGUAAUAC
rnacentral:rRNA from 1 species